UUAAGGUGGUACCCAACACUUUCACUAAAAUUAAUUUGGCUCGUUUAAUUUUCAUAAAAUUUUGUCAAAGUAUUUACUUUAACCCUUUAACAAAAAUAUAAAAAAAUCAAAAAAUUUGAACCAACCGUUUUGUCAGAAAAAUUACACUGGUUAUAUAGCAGUUUGACAAACACCAAUUUUGAUCAUCGAGAAGCUUAAUAUUGCUUUUACAACACAACGUAAUUAAAACGUUUAGCUGACUUUACAGAGUUAUCUCCCUGUAGUGUUAGGUACCACCUUAA
rnacentral:lncRNA from 1 species